UACCUGCAGCUCGAGUGGUAACCGCUAUUAUUGGGCCUAAAGCGUCCGUAGCCGGUUUGGUAAAUAUCUGGGUAAAUCGUGAGGCUUAACUUCACGAAUUUCGGAUAGACUGCCAGACUUGGGAUCGGGGGAGGUCAGAGGUACUCCAGGGGUAGCGGUGAAAUGUUGUAAUCCUUGGAGGACCACCGGUAGCGAAGGCGCCUGACUAGAACGAGCCCGACGGUGAGGGACGAAGCCCUGGGGCGCAAACCGGAUUAGAUACCCGGGUAGUCCAGGGUGUAAACAAUGUGGGCUUUGUAUUGGAGGUCCCACGUGGGCGUCCAGUGCAGAAGAGAAGUUGUUAAGCCCACCGCCUGGGAAGUACGGUCGCAAGGCUGAAACUUAAAGGAAUUGGCGGGGGAGCACAGCAACGGGAGGAGCGUGCGGUUU
rnacentral:rRNA from 1 species